GCAAAAGGAUGUGUGAGCAGAAACCAUAGCUGAAUAACUUAAGUAUAGAAGGUUUGGGGGAGAAUGGGAAUAAGUUAUUUUCAGAUGAUGAAUAUAAAUUACUUUUCAGAUAUGCUUUUCAGAUCAUCACAGCUAAACCUAAUGUGAGUGUGACCAGCUGGUUUAGCAGGUGUGAUGCUCAUGUGAUCAGCAUAAUUUAAAAUAUACUCCCUGCACCUGCCCAACUGUGAUUGGAAGGGGGGAAAAGUUGCUGCUCCAUUGCUGAAGAUUUAGCAACCAGAGUCUGCUACUCAAUAAUGACUGAAAUCAGUUUUGUGUUCAUGUCUUUUUGCUGAAAUAAUACAGCUAUAAACAUGGAGUUUAAUAUUGGUCAUAGCCAUCCAGUUCAGUCAGAAGCAACGCAGUAGCACCAGAGAAUCAGAUUCUGAGACGUGUCAUCUCGGUGCUGAGGAAUGUGCAUUGGAGGCAGUGCUGGAGGUGACACUGUUUGUUGCUCAAGAUGUGAGGAGCAGGCUUGGAGCUUUAGACAAGAAUUGAAUGUUCUAAACCAAAAAUCACUCUCUUGGCAACUGUUGUACAAGUAUAGCCAAUGCAUGAAAUAUCUUCUCUGACUCCUCCUGCAUCUGACUUUUCCUUUUUGAUGUCUCUGAAGCCACGUCUGUUUGACAAGGCUAAGCUGCUUGAUGCAUAUCUUACUCCCCUAGCCAACAGAAGUGCAGAAAAUGGGUGCUUCAGUAGAGUCAGUAGGCAGUGUCAGAUGAAAGACACACUUCUUCCUGCAAUUCUAGCCAACAGUGCUUGCUGAAAGAAAAAUAUAGCUCAAGAGAAGUGUAUGUGAUAUUUCUUCCUCCAUCCAGCACUCAGCUGCAGUUCCCUGUGCACCUUAAGGCAGUGAUCGUUUGCCAGAGCAUACACGGAUGGGAAAAAAUAUCACUGGAAAUAGCUGAAGCUGUGAUAUUUAUCUUAAGACAGAGAGGAGUUCUACUAGAGGCCUGAUGCAGGCUUCUCAAUCUCUCUCCAUCCAGGCAUGCAGGUGGGCUUCGCCUGGCCACAUCCUCCAGCCACGCACUGCACACCCAGCAGGCACGCACGGAGCUCAGCCAGGAGAACCCAUGCGAUGGUGGUGUGUGGGAUGCCAGAUUCCUACCAGGUCAGAGACAGGUCAGGAGUGAGAAAAUGCAGAAGAAAUGCAGCCCAACUCAUUCCACAGGCCCACUGUCACGCUGCUGUUGAGUCUGUGUGUGUGUGUGUGUGUUGCAAUUACGGUGCAGAGCCCACCAAGUGUAUCUGAAGAGCCGGCUUGGUCCCUGGUAAAGGAAUGUUCCCAGACGUGCUGCAGAGACUUUGCCUCUCGUGUGAUAUGUACAGCAUUUCUUUCCCUUUGUUCCAGAAAGGAGCAUUUGGCUUAUGGUUACUUGGACGCGUUGCAAAAAAAUAAAGCAUUGCAUUAUGAGAAAGGGAGCCACUCAUUAAAAAAUAAAAAAAAUAAAAAAUGCAAAAAGUCGUGUAAAAUGUGAAAUAAAUAUAGAAGAAAAGAAACCCUGUACAAGAGCCAACUGCAUCAAAAUCCCCAUAAAUUGUGAAGUUUUCAGCACUGUGAUGAAGUCAUGCAAUCAGGAAGAUUGUGGUGUCUUGAGGAAUGACGCAGUCCAACUUGCAGCCCACACGUAGCUUGCCUGCCGUGCGUCCCAGCAGCAAAACAGGCGAGGUGGAAUCCGGCAGCGAUCAGAUUCCCCCAGCCUGAGCCCCUCACCCUGCAUCUUGGCUGCCCACAGCAUGCUGUGCUUCCAGGUCUGGGGAAAAGGCUGGAUGUGGUAAGGCAGGGAAUGCAAGGCUAAGCAGGCAGGAUUGUCCUGGUUGUUUUAUUAAUAAACAGAAAAAGCAAUUCGAGUUUUUGUUUGUUUGUUUGUUUAUUGUUCCUUGCUGCAAUAUUCACCAUGCCUAAUUUUGACUGUGGUUCUGAUUAUGACCUUGCAGCUCAGACCUUGUAGUGCUGAGAAAGACCCUACAUGCUCUGGACCCCACUCCUCUUUCCACCACAGCUAUAGAGGACUUCAGAGAAGACUGUGGAUCUGCUGAUCUGCAUCAAGGCAAGAUGUGAGAUGCCGUCAGGGUCAUAGGAAGCUAACAGAGAUGGUGCCAAGCGAUGGGACAGGUUUCCAUGAGUCAUGGAGCUAAGAAUGCACAGCAAGAAGUACCAUCCAGUUGAUUCCCAGCCACCUCCUCACAAUGAUCUGAAUUUCUCCAUUUCAGUAAAACUCCAGAUUUUUUCACAGAACCACUCGCAGCUCCUGGUCAGUGGGCCGUGCAUCGUUUGCUUUGAUUACGUUUGUGGUUUCUUUAUGGUGGAGGCUCACUGCCUGCUCAGACAGCUGGCUUGAUGGUCUUCAUAUUUUCCAAAACCACUUGACCUUAACUGCAGUUAAUUUGUGGGGCAAGGCUGAUGAACAGCAGGCCUCCCGACUGCUGUCCUCAAUCAGCGAGGAGCAGGGACAGAGCCCUCCUCUCACCCUGAAAGGGAAGGCACUGCCCAGCAAAGCUGUGAGGCUUGUAGAAGCACGAUGCCAGGAGAGCCCAACACAUGGCUAAUGGUAAAACCACCACACAUUAAGAACAGAGUUUUUUUCCCAGAAAUAUCCAAACACUUUGACAGCUCAGCAGCAGCUCAACACUUUGGUUACAGUGAAAUUUCACAGCAUAAAAAGCUCCUUCCUGGCUCUUUUAGGAGUUGUUUUUGCAUUUCUGAACCUCACAUAACAAAAGGCAUGGUAGUGCAGAAGAAUUCAGCCUUUGUGUGGCUGCAGUGCUCAAAUAGGAAGGAGCCUCUCUGAAUCAGAAAAUGAAGAGAAGGGAAGUAUGAAGGAGUCCAAGGACAUUCCUUGCACUUUUGGUAUGUGAGGGCAAACAAAAGGCACACAUUGCAUCUUAAUCUUUGGCUGUAUCUGAUAAAAUAAUUAAUGCUAGAAGUGAUCAAAAUAAUUCUCCUAAUGAACAGUUUUAUCCCAUCUCCUGACUCCCCUAUACAUCAGCAGCAGAAACACUAAUGUGCUAAUUAGCCAUAUGCUAAUGAAUUAAAUUGUCACUGCUGUCUUACUGCAAGAUCUGUAUUAUUGAUCGUAUUGAAAUCAGAUUCACCUCAGUUUGUGUUUGCAUCUGUGAUCAUUCUGAAGGGUGUUUCUGUGUGCCUAAAGAAACCCCUGGUUUUGGAGGACUGAAACAUACCCUUAACUCUAAAUGUGGAUGGUGAUACGGAUGGUUCCCAAACAGUGUGAAGUGUAUGCAGGGUUGAAAGAGGGUCAGCAGAACAGGUGUGCUGAACAAAUUUCAUCUCAGAGUAAAGCUGAUAAUGCUGUUUUGGUAAUGAUCAUUCUGAAUCCAUCUACGUUUUAGACGCUACAGCUGGUCCCAGACCUUUUUCUCUGUCUUUUUAGCCACAGGGGAAGAAUUGUAGACUUUGCUACCGGUGUUGCUCUUGAAAUGCUAUGACUUUGCUCACUCAGCCCUCAUGUUUCGAAUCACCGUUGCUUUGGUGGGGAUGGGGCAGGGGAGGAAGUUGUUUUCUUUCCCCUGGAUGCUAUUAAGAAAAAUCAUGAACUGUCUGAUUGUUAUUUUUCUUUUUUGGAGGGGGUCUUAAAAUGGUGAGAGUAACAAAUGUGCUAAACCUCACACCACCAGAAAUCCAAGGAAACAGAACAUCUAUUUAUAAAACCAAAAAUACAAAUUGCCCCCAGCAUUCACGCAUCAUUAGAAAGCUAAACCACAGUCCCAGAAAUCAAGCCCUUCACUCCCAACAUGUGCUCACAGCACAGGGAGGGACGAGCAGACACAAAGCCACUCUGUAAGGAGGUGCACGGAGGAGAAGCCAAGGCACUGCCAAGCCUCUGCAGCCAGAAAACCCCAGGAGGUGAGCCAGUCCCAAGGAGACCAGGAAAGCUAAUUAAGUAGAAAAGAAGUUUGGGGAAAAUCUCAUGGUUUUUGCCACUUGUGAAUGAAGGGCACGCUUCAGCUCUGAUGCGGUCUGCCCGGAGCCCUUCAACUCCUUGCAAAGCUGAUGGAUGCUGUGUUGGACCAGCACCAGCCUGUUUCAGGGGUGGUGGGUUCCUUCUCUGCUCAGCCUCCCAGCUCUGCUUCCUGGUGCCUUGCUGAGUUUAAAUGAUACAAAACUGAGGACGCUAUUCCCAUGUGCUCACCCAUUUCGUUCCUCUUGAAAUCAACUUGUGCUCAGGCACAAACACAGGAGAUUCAUCUGGCUACAAAUCGGACGGUUGAUUCAGAUCCAUU